rnacentral:misc_RNA from 1 species
AAACCAGUCCCUACGAAUCUUGCCUUCUGUUAAUCUGUUGAAGUUCAAAAUGAGAGGCUUACUUAUUUGUCUUGGUUUGGUUUGUAUCUUGAGUGUAGCAUGGGUAAGUAUCACUAUACUACAGUCUGAUACCUUUUUGUUGUUCCUAAUAAUCAAUCUCAGUUAAAAAAAAUCAUAGUUUUUCGUGGUUUUUUAUAUUUGGUAGAUUUAAUUUUCUAUGUAUAUAUAUCUAUAUCUACAUUAUUUCUAUUUUCAUAUGCAAUUGCAAGCAAUACAUGUUGUUUUCCAUUACCGACAGUUUUACUCUCAAAAUUUCCCGUUAUCCAAAUUAUAUUUCAAUAACCAACGAACGUUUUUACCACAAGAAAGAGAAAAUGUACAAACAAGUAGAAAUAAACGACUUGGGGUAAUAAAAAAAGAAGACGCGUUACUUACCGACCGGUGACUUUUUCUUAAGAUCAUGAUAAGAAACCAUGAAGUUGUUAAUAAAUUUGCAUGCAUAUUAUUUUUGUAACUGCGGUUGUUGAGAUUUCCUUUUCGAAAUUGCAAAGAGGCAGAUCGGAGUGCCAGUUGGCUAUAUGAGCGUUGCAAAUUUUUGAAUUUUAUCUUUUCUCUGUGUAUAGGCAGCAACCCAUUGUUUGACUAAUGCAGAGUGUGGAACUGACGAGUGUUGUUUCAAACAUGACGGACCAUUCCUUGUCAGCAAGAGGAAGCGUGCCUCCUCAGACCUUCUUGGUCCGGCCAUACACUCCUCCACUGGUUUGUAUUAUACACCUCGCAUUGGAAAGGCCCCAUAUAUAUUGUGAAAUUAUUUAAUGGUAGUAAAUAUAUUUAAUAAAGUUU